GCUCAGAACGAACGCGGCGGGCGUGGAUAAGACAUGCAAGUCGAGCGCUGAUUUCAGGGUAGCAAUAUUCUGAAGUUGGAGCGGCGCAAGGGUGCGUAACACGUGGGUAAUCUGCCAUGAAGUUUGGAAUAACAUGCUGAAAGGCGAGCUAAUACCGGAUGUGAACAUCGGGCGGCAUCGUUUGAUGUUCAAAGCUGGGGACCGUAAGGCCUGGCGCUUCAUGAUGAGCCCGCGGCCUAUCAGCUAGUUGGUGAGGUAACGGCUCACCAAGGCUAAGACGGGUAGCUGGUCUGAGAGGACGACCAGCCACACUGGAACUGAGACACGGUCCAGACACCUACGGGUGGCAGCAGUCGAGAAUUUUUCACAAUGGGGGAAACCCUGAUGGAGCGACGCCGCGUGGGGGAUGAAUGGCUUCGGCCCGUAAACCCCUGUCAUUCGGGAUCAAUGCGUUUGGGUGAAUAUCCCAAACGUUGAUAGUACCGGAAGAGGAAGGGACGGCUAACUCUGUGCCAGCAGCCGCGGUAAUACAGAGGUCCCAAGCGUUGUUCGGAUUCACUGGGCGUAAAGGGUGCGUAGGUGGUCGGGUAAGUUUGAUGUGAAAUCUCGGAGCUUAACUCCGAAACUGCAUUGAAUACUAUUCGGCUUGAGGGUUGGAGGGGGGACUGGAAUUCUCGGUGUAGCAGUGAAAUGCGUAGAUAUCGAGAGGAACACCAGUGGCGAAGGCGAGUCCCUGGACAACUCCUGACACUAAGGCACGAAAGCUAGGGGAGCAAACAGGAUUAGAUACCCUGGUAGUCCUAGCCGUAAACGGUGUACGUUUGCUGUAAAAGGAAUCGACCCCUUUUGUGGCGUAGCCAACGCGUUAAACGUGCCGCCUGGGAAGUACGGUCGCAAGAUUAAACUCAAAU
rnacentral:rRNA from 1 species